CCUUUGUACACACCGCCCGUCGCUACUACCGAUUGAAUGGCUCAGUGAGGCCUUCGGAUCGGCCCAGGGAGGUCGGCAACGACCACCCAGGGCUGAAAAGUUCGUCAAACUCGGUCAUUUAGAGG
rnacentral:rRNA from 1 species